UGAGGAAUAUUGCUCAAUGGGCGAAAGCCUGAAGCAGCAACGCCGCGUGCGCGAUGAAGGUCUUCGGAUCGUAAAGCGCUUUUGAGAGGGACGAGAUAGGACGGUGCCUCUUGAAUAAGUCACGGCUAACUACGUGCAAGCAGCCGCGGUAAAACGUAGGUGGCAAGCGUUAUCCGGAUUCACUGGGCGUAAAGCGCGUGCAGGUGGCUUCGUAAGUUGGACGUUAAAUCUUUCGGCCUAACCGGGAGGUGUCGUUCAAUACUGCGGGGCGUGAGGGUAGAAGAGGGGGGUGGAAUUGCCGGUGUAGUGGUGAAAUGCGUAGAUAUCGGCAGGAACACCUGUGGCGAAAGCGGCCCCCUGGUCUGCUCCUGACACUCAGACGCGAAAGCUAGGGGGGUGAAC
rnacentral:rRNA from 1 species